ACAGAGCCUUUUAGUGUGGACCAAUGAGAAGAUCAGUUUUCCAUUAUAUCACAGCCAAAUUUGAACAUGUUUUACCAGUACCAACAAUGUAAAUAUGGUAAUAUAAUUGAACUAUGGUAAUGUGAUUGAGCUGCAGGAUCAGUCAUUAAAACACUCUAAUGUAACAGCUAAAACAAGUUGGUGGAAGAAGAUGUUCUGAUGCAGUGCAGAAACGUUCUUGCUCGGUGAGUAAUGUUACAGGCACAGAGUGUCUCUGGGGUUGAGGUAAUGUUGACAGGCAGCAAGUGUCUUGGGUUGGAGGUAAUGUUGACCAGGCAGCAGCAGUGGUCUCUGGGUUGGAGGUAAUGUUGACAGGCAGCAGAGUGUCUCUGGGUUGGAGGUUAAUGUUGACAGGCAGCAGAGUGUCUCUGGGUUGGAGGUAAUGUUGACAGGCAGCAAGGUCUCUGUUGAGGUUGGGUGUGGUUGAGGUAAUUUGACAGCAGGUGUGUGUCUCGGGUUGGAGGUAAUGUUGCAGGCAGCAAAAUGUUUCCUGUCUCUGGGUUGGAGGUAAUGUGACAGGACUUCAGAGGGUAUUGUCUCUGGGUUGGGUAAUGUUGACAGGCAGAGGGUUUUUGUCUCUGGGUUUGAGGUAUGUUGACAGGCAGCAGAGAGGUAUGUCCUCGGGUUGGAGGUAAUGUUGACAGGCAGCAGAGAGGGUAUUGUCUCUGGGUUGGAGGUAAUGUUGACAGGCAGCAGAGAGGGUAUUGUCUCUGGGUUGGAGGUAAUGUUGACAGGCAGCAGAGAGGUUUUUCUCGGGUGGAGGAAUGUUGAGCAAAGUUAAAUGGGAAGCAGGGAAGUAAAAGUGGUCGGUGGCUGGCGCUCCAGCCACUGAAGAAGACAGAUAAUCUGGAUCUCAAAUCUGUCUUAUCUACAAACUUCCUGCGUGAUUCACCCUGAGAGGAGAGACGAAUGGGUGGCUCGGAUGGGGGAGAGAGGGAGGGGUGUGCACUUCUCUGUGUGUCCCCUGAGAGAGAGAGACUGAAGGGUGCCGGAUGGGGGGGGGGGGGUGCCUUCUCUGUGUGUCUCUCCUCUGUGACUUGCCACCAUCUGCCCCUGCCACGUUCUCUCUCUCAGGCAGGUACCUUGUAGUCAGACGUCAGCGUUUCCUUCUCCCUCUCUCUGUCCCUUUCUUUCUGCCUGUUCACUUUUGUAUCUGACUACUGGUGCGUUCACACCUACUGUCCACACCACACAUCGCGCCACUCAC
rnacentral:lncRNA from 1 species